UGGGGAAUAUUGCACAAUGGGGGAAACCCUGAUGCAGCAACGCCGCGUGAGUGAUGACGGUCUUCGGAUUGUAAAGCUCUGUCUUUGGGGACGAUAAUGACGGUACCCAAGGAGGAAGCCACGGCUAACUACGUGCCAGCAGCCGCGGUAAUACGUAGGUGGCGAGCGUUAUCCGGAAUUAUUGGGCGUAAAGGGAGCGUAGGCGGAUAAUUAAGUGGGAUGUGAAAUACUCAGGCUCAACCUGGGGGCUGCAUUCCAAACUGAUUAUCUAGAGUGCAGGAGAGGAGAGUGGAAUUCCUAGUGUAGCGGUGAAAUGCGUAGAGAUUAGGAAGAACACCAGUGGCGAAGGCGACUCUCUGGACUGUAACUGACGCUGAGGCUCGAAAGCGUGGGGAGCAAACAGGAUUAGAUACC
rnacentral:rRNA from 1 species